AAGAACUGAAGGUCAUGUUCAUUGAGACCAGUGCAAAAACAGGAUACAACGUAAAACAGCUCUUCCGGCGUGUGGCCUCAGCUCUGCCAGGAAUGGAGAGUUCCCAAGAGAAGGGCAAAGAAGGAAUGGUUGACAUCAAAUUGGACAAGCCCCAGGAGGCACCAGCCAGCGAAAGUGGGUGCUCAUGCUAGCCCAGAGCAGUCAGGUGCCUGUGCUAUCCCAUGCUCAACACCUUGCUGCCUACAGAGGCCACUGGAGUUGGCAGCUGGGAACUGUAUUUUUUGCUCUCUCUGGGGCAGGAAGAUUGGAGGCGUGGGGAAAAUGUUCUCUUCACAAUCAUGGCUCUUAACUGCAGUUAUGGAAAGUUUGUUUUUCUUUGUUGUUUUUUGUUGUAAAAUAUUGGGGAAGGGGGGGGAAGGUUGGUAAAAAUUACAAAUGAAGUAGGUUGUACAACUGCCAAAAUAAAAUGUCGAGAAAGAAAACA
rnacentral:lncRNA from 1 species